rnacentral:rRNA from 1 species
UGGGGAAUAUUGCACAAUGGGCGCAAGCCUGAUGCAGCAACGCCGCGUGAACGAUGAAGGUCUUCGGAUCGUAAAGUUCUGUUGCAGGGGAAGAUAAUGACGGUACCCUGUGAGGAAGCCCUGGCUAAAUACGUGCCAGCAGCCGCGGUAAUACGUAGGGGGCUAGCGUUGUCCGGAAUCACUGGGCGUAAAGGGUUCGCAGGCGGAAUAACAAGUCAGAUGUGAAAGGCAUGGGCUCAACCCAUGUAAGCAUUUGAAACUGUAAUUCUUGAGAAGUGGAGAGGUAAGUGGAAUUCCUAGUGUAGCGGUGAAAUGCGUAGAUAUUAGGAGGAAUACCUGUGGCGAAGGCGACUUACUGGACACAAAUCUGACGCUGAGGAACGAAAGCGUGGGUAGCAAACAGG